rnacentral:rRNA from 1 species
UUAGAGUUUGAUCCUGGCUCAGAACGAACGCUGGCGGCAGGCCUAACACAUGCAAGUCGAACGCCGUAGCAAUACGGAGUGGCAGACGGGUGAGUAACGCGUGGGAACCUUCCCAAUGGUACGGAAUAGCCCAGGGAAACUUGGAGUAAUACCGUAUACGCCCGUAAGGGGAAAGAUUUAUCGCCAUUGGAUGGGCCCGCGUCGGAUUAGCUAGUUGGUGAGGUAACGGCUCACCAAGGCGACGAUCCGUAGCUGGUCUGAGAGGACGAUCAGCCACACUGGGACUGAGACACGGCCCAGACUCCUACGGGAGGCAGCAGUGGGGAAUAUUGGACAAUGGGCGCAAGCCUGAUCCAGCCAUGCCGCGUGAGUGAUGAAGGCCUUAGGGUUGUAAAGCUCUUUUGGCGGGGACGAUAAUGACGGUACCCGCAGAAUAAGCCCCGGCUAACUUCGUGCCAGCAGCCGCGGUAAUACGAAGGGGGCUAGCGUUGUUCGGAAUCACUGGGCGUAAAGCGCACGUAGCGACUUUCAAGUCAGGGGUGAAAUCCCGGGGCUCAACCUCGGAACUGCCUUUGAUACUGUUGGUCUUGAGUCCGGAAGAGGUGGGUGGAAUUCCUAUGUAAGGUAAAUUCGUAAUUUAGAAGAACACCGGUGCAAGCGGCCCACUGGUCCGGUACUGACCUUAGUGCAAGCGUGGGGAGCAAACAGGGAUUAGAUUACCCCUGGUAGUCCACGCCGUAAACGAUGGAUGCUAGCCGUCGGCAAGCUUGCUUGUCGGUGGCGCAGCUAACGCAUUAAGCAUCCCGCCUGGGGAGUACGGCCGCAAGGUUAAACUCAAAGGAAAUUGACGGGGGCCCGCACAAGCGGUGGAGCAUGUGGUUUAAUUUCGACGCAACGCGAAGAACCUUACCAAGCCUUGACAUGUCCCGGACCGGGCCCUGAAAGGGCUCCUCCCAGCAAAUGGGCCGGAACACAGGUGCUGCAUGGCUGUCGUCAGCUCGUGUCGUGAGAUGUUGGGUUUAAGUCCCCGCAAACGAGCGCAACCCUCGCCCAUUAGUUUGCCCAUCAUUUCAGUUUGGGCACUUUAGUUGGGACUGCCCGGUGAUAAGCCGGAGGAAGGUGGGGGAUGACCGUCAAGUCAUCAAUGGCCCUUACGGUUUUGGGGCUACACACGUGCUACAAUGGCGGGUGACAGUGGGCAGCCCACUCAGUAAUUGAGGAGCUAAUCCCCAAAAAAGCCGUUCUCAGUUCGGGAUUGAGCUNUUGCAACUCGAGCUCAUGAAGUCGGAAUCGCUAGUAAUCGCGGAUCAGCACGCCGCGGUGAAUACGUUCCCGGGCCUUGUACACACCGCCCGUCACACCAUGGGAGUUGUUCUUACCCUAGACGGUACGCUAACCGCAAGGAGCAGCCGGCCACGUAAGGUCAGCGACUGGGGUGAAGUCGUACAAGGUAGCCGUAGGGACCUGCGGCUGGAUCACCUCCU